rnacentral:other from 1 species
AAUUGCCUGCUGCGUGCGAGGCGGAGAUUUUUUCCCCUACGUUUUUAAAAAGGGAACUCGCGUUUUAUCGUCUAUGCGUAUUUCGAGGGCGUUGUUUUCACCCCUAUUAAGCGAAAAGUCAAAAGCGAUAAGUAGAGUACCCACCCUGCCUAAGGCGGGUUAAAACUUCUCAAUGCACGGCGCAAGUGGGUAAAUU